rnacentral:rRNA from 1 species
GAUCUAAGAGCAUGUGGUGGAUGCCUAGACUCUAAAUGGCGAUGAAGGACGUAGCAUAGCUGCGAUAAGCUUCGGGGAGGUGUUGAGCAACCUUCGAUCCGGAGAUUUCCGAAUGGGGAAACCCCUUACAGUAAUCCUGUAAGACCCUGCCCUUGAGGCAGAGGAGCGCACCUAGGGAAGUGAAACAUCUCAGUACCUAGAGGAACAGAAACAAAUCAGAAGCUUUUUAAUCUUGGCGAGAUAGUUAUCGCUAGGAUUAAGAAGCUUUGUGUAUUCCCCUAGUAGCGGCGAGCGAAAAGGGAGGAGCCCAAACCUAUGCAUUUAUGCAUGGGGGUUGUAAGGUAAUGGCGUAGUUAUUCUAGAAGAGUUACAAAUGUCUUAAAUUAAUCGAAGCCGCUGGGAAGCGGCGCCACAGACGGUAAUAGUCCGGUAGAUGAAAAUUUGAGCACUCUUUUGCCAUUAUUCUUGAGUACCUCGGGACAUGACUAGCUUGAGGGAAUCUGGCAGUACUAACUGCCAAGGCUAAAUACAUUUAGAGAUCGAUAGUGAACUAGUACCGUGAGGGAAAGGUGAAAAGCAGCCCGAUAAGGGCGUUGAAAUAGAUCCUGAAACCACAUGCUUACAAGGAGUCGGAGCUCGAUCCCGCAAGGGAUUUGGGUGACGGCGUGCCUAUUGAAGAAUGAGCCAACGAGUUUAUGGGUACGGCUUGGUUAAUCUGUUAGCGCAGAGAAGCCGAAGGGAAACCAAGUGUUAAUAGCGCGCAAUUGGUCGUACGCAUAAGACCCGAAGCCGGGUGAGCUUGCCAUGAGCAGGGUGAAGUUGCGAGAAAUCGCAAUGGAGGCCCGAACCGUUUAGUCGUGCAACACUAUCGGAUGACUUGUGGUAAGGAGUGAAAAGCUAAUCGAACUCGGUAAUAGCUGGUUCUCUCCGAAAUAGCUUUAGGGUUAGCGUCUUGGUUACCUGCUGGGGGUAGAGCACUGGAAGAGUUGAAUAGGAGGAAACUUCGUCAACUCUAUCAAACUCCGAAUACCAGCAGUCAUUACAAGGCAGUUAGACGGUGGGGGCUAAGCUCCACUCGUCGAAAGGGAAACAGCCCAGAUCGCAAUCUAAGGUCCCUAAAUUAACGUUAAGUGCACUUAAGGAGGUGAGAUUUCUCUGACAAUGAGGAUGUUGGCUUAGAAGCAGCCAUCAUUUAAAGAAAGCGUAAUAGCUCACUCAUUCAGAGAUCUCGCGCCGCAGAUUCUCGGGGCUAAACGUUAUACCGAAGAUGCGGGCUUUAUCAGUCCUCGGACUGAUGGAGCGGUAGGAGAGUGUUUUGUUCGGCUGUGAAGGUAGGUCGCGAGGCCUGCUGGAGCGAACAGAAGUAAGAAUGUUGGCACAAGUAACCGCAAUCCCGGUGAGAUCCCGGGACGCCAAAAGACUAAGGUUUCCUUGGCAAUGGUAAUCAACCAAGGGUUAGUCGGGCCUAAGGGGAUGACGACAGUCGGACCCGAUGGACAGAUGGUUAAUAUUCCAUCACUUCCGGUUGGUGCGAUGGGGCGACGGAGGGUUAUAGACAGAGCGCAUUAAUGGUUUUGCGUUCGGACAGUGAGGAGGCUGGUCAGGUAAAUCCGGCCGGCAAUACUCCAAGCUCUCCGAAAAUGUCAAGGGCAACCGCGGCAAAUUUUGUUGAACACACUUCCAAGAAAAACCUCUAAGCAUAACCAACUGGGAACCGUACCGUAAACCGACACAGGUAGUCAGGUCGAGUAGACCACGGCGAACGAGUGAUUGCUCCUCAAGGAACUCGGCAAAAAAGCGUCCGUAACUUCGGAAUAAGGCCUGCCCAAGUUUGGAGGUUGGACGUUGGAUGUUAGCAAUUGGAUUAUUCCAAUCUCUAAUUUCUAACUUCCAAUCUCUAAUUUUGGGCCGCAGCGAAAGUAUCCCUGGCGACUGUUUACCAAAAACAUAGCUCCCUGCGAACUCGCAAGAGGAUGUAUAGGGGGUGACACCUGACCAAUGCCAGAAGGUCAAACAAGGUUGGUCUAAUGUCUUCGGAUGUUAGGCUGUACUUUGUAAGCCCUGGUGAAUGUCGGCGAUAACUAUAAUCGUCCUAAGGUAGCGAAAUUCCUUGUCGGGUAAAUUCCGACGCGCACGAAUGGUGUAACGAUCAGGGAACUGUCUCGAGGAGUAGCUCGGUGAAAAUGCAAUGGGGGUGAAGAUGCCCUCUACCUGCAGUUAGACGAAAAGACCCCAGAAGCUUUACUAUAGCUUGAUAUUGGGUGUGUGUUUAGGCUGCGUAGCAUAGGUGGGAGACUUUGAAGCGGAAGUUUUGGCUUCCGUGGAGUCAUCAGUGAAAUACCACUCUGUCAUGAUGCACAUUCUAACCAGAACGGCAAAAACGUUUUGAGACAGUAUCUGGUGGGUAGUUUUAGUGGGGCGCUAUCCUCCUAAAAAGUAACGGAGGAGUUUAUUAAGGUCAGCUAGGCGCGAAUGGAAACCGUGCCGAUAGUGUAAUGGCAUAAGCUGGCUUGACUGCAAGACGUACAUGUCGAGCAGGUACGAAAGUAGAACAUAGUGAACCGACAGUCCGCAUUAGACGCGGCUGGAGAUUAACGGAUAAAAGCUACUCUGGGGAUAACAGGCUGGUUCCGCCCAAGCGUCCAUAGCGACGGCGGAGUUCGGCACCUCGAUGUCGGCUCAUCUUAUCCUGGGGCUGGAGCAGGUCCCAAGGGUUCGGCUGUUCGCCGAUUAAAAAGAUACGCGAGCUGGGUUCAAACCGUCGUAAGACAGGUUGGUCUCCUAUCUACUGCAGGCGUUGAUAAUUGAGAGGAGUUGUUUCUAGUACGAGAGGACCGAAAUGAACUGACCUCUGGUCUGUCGGCUGUGCCACCAGGUGCAAUGCCGAGUAGCUAUGUCGGGAACGGAUAACCGCUGAAAGCAUCUAAGCGGGAAGCCGACCUCAAGAUUAAUUAUCGUUAUGAGACCCGUAGGAGAUGACUACGUUGAUAGGCACUAGGUGGAAGUAUGGCAACAUAUUGAGCCGUGGUGUACUAAUUCGUCCA